rnacentral:lncRNA from 12 species
CUUUUUUGCCUUAAUCCCUUUAAGUGCUAAAUUCAUGGAAAGCAAUUGAAUCAACAAUUUAGAUUAAGGCAAUAGCAUCAGAUGAUGGAGAAAUUCUGCUCCUAAAAGGAUGCCUGAAUGAAACUUGGCUUUUCAGAAUGGGAUUGGAAUUGCCCUUGGCCUCCUGUUACAAAGAUCCUCCUUGCAGAAAAUGAGCUUUCCAAGGAUUCCUGGCUAUCACAUCGUGCUGGAGCCCACCAGGAGUUGCUGCUUUGCUGUCAUUCACCUUCUGCAGAUCAGCUCUGCCUGUGGAGGUGCCUCCAGCCUUCCUGCCAUGCACACUUUCUUCCCCAGACCUGUAACAAGG